CACCUAAGCUCCCUCCUGCUAGGGUUUGAGUGGCUGACCUGCCCAACCCCACCCCCGCCUUUCCCACGCUCUUUCUCCCUUUUCCUCGUAGCCACCCCCGGCCGAGCCCCCUGCGACUCCGGAGACCCAGGGACCCUUCUGGCGGCAGCAGCACGGUCAUGCUGUGUUGAGACCUGGGCAGCUGAGGGACCCUUGGAAAUUAUCUGAAGGUGUUCUUGAGAUACUCUAGUUUUGCCUCAGUGAAAAAAGCGUAGCUGAAUUCUUUACUAAUGAAAGCACCUUUCUUUUGGUAUAUGGCACUAUCUCCCACCUCAACCUUUUUCUUCUGAAAACAUCACAGCACAUGUCCCUCUUUCUUCUUGAUAGUGUUUCUUUGAAAUUAAAAAUAUUAACUCAGCCCUGGCAGGGGGUUGCAGCAUCCUCGGGUACACCACAGGGUUGCGCGCCCGUGCUCAGCGGGGCGCACGCCGGAGGCAACUGAUUGAUGUUUGUCUCUCGCAUCCGUAUUUCACUCUCUUCCUUCCUCUGCUGCUAAAAUCAGUUAACAUAUCUUCAGUUGCCUGAAGUCAAUACCAGCAGUUCCGGGCUGUGAGGGGAAUAUUUUGGGGAAGAGAAGGCACCUUGGAGCAAGGACAACGUGACCAGCUACCCACCACAGGGGUUCGGGGCUGGGACUGGCAGAUGUCUCCCUUUUGCUAAUAAGGGCUGUACACGUUUCCAUGGUAACUAUUUCCUGGGCUCGGCAAGAAUUCGUGUGCAUGUGACCCCUGCACUGCGAACCUUUUCAGACACCUGCUAGAACUGCAUGGGUGGAAAUGGUUCCACUCCUAAGCCUUGGAGGGUGCAGGGUCCAUGGGACAAUAGACGGACCCACAACUGAUUGUGGGGAACCUUCCCCACCCACCCACCUGGAGCAAGAAAUCAGAGGCAUAAAAAAAUGCACGUUGUAUACAGAAAUUGGAAAAACACAAGAAACUAACACAAGUGAUUAUCUGUGGAGGAGGUAAAUUGAAGGGGGAUUAGGGAAGAAACAAGACAUUCAUCUAUGUCUUUGUAAAGUGUUUUGACUUUUUAAUUAAAAGCUUGGACAAAUUUUUAAAUAAAAUGUUUAGUUUCCA